CCUACGGGAGGCAGCAGUGAGGAAUAUUGGUCAAUGGACGAGAGUCUGAACCAGCCAAGUAGCGUGAAGGAUGACUGCCCUAUGGGUUGUAAACUUCUUUUAUAUGGGAAUAAAACGUUCCACGUGUGGGAUUUUGUAUGUACCAUAUGAAUAAGGAUCGGCUAACUCCGUGCCAGCAGCCGCGGUAAUACGGAGGAUCCGAGCGUUAUCCGGAUUUAUUGGGUUUAAAGGGAGCGUAGGUGGAUUGUUAAGUCAGUUGUGAAAGUUUGCGGCUCAACCGUAAAAUUGCAGUUGAAACUGGCAGUCUUGAGUACAGUAGAGGUGGGCGGGAUUCGUGGUGUAGCGGUGAAAUGCUUAGAUAUCACGAAGAACUCCGAUUGCGAAGGCAGUUCACUGGACUGCAACUGACACUGAGGCUCGAAAGUGUGGGUAUCAAACAGGAUUAGAUACCCCUGUAGUC
rnacentral:rRNA from 1 species